UACGUAGGGUGCAAGCGUUAAUCGGAAUUACUGGGCGUAAAGCGUGCGCAGGCGGUUCUAUAAGUCAGAUGUGAAAUCCCCGGGCUCAACCUGGGAACUGCAUUUGUGACUGUAGAGCUGGAGUGCGGCAGAGGGGGAUGGAAUUCCGCGUGUAGCAGUGAAAUGCGUAGAUAUGCGGAGGAACACCGAUGGCGAAGGCAAUCCCCUGGGCCUGCACUGACGCUCAUGCACGAAAGCGUGGGGAGCAAACAGG
rnacentral:rRNA from 1 species